rnacentral:lncRNA from 1 species
CAAAGACUUAUAAGAAGAGGAGCCUCAAGUCCCAUUCAUGUCUGACAAAUUUUAUUUUGAGAAUCACUGCUUUAGAACUAUCCCUCUCUCCAUGUCACAUGGCCACUGCCAACAGAUGUCGGAGGAGUAAAAUUGGCAAUUCAAGACAGUCUUUCCUACCCUCUUCAAUGCCUCUUUCAGCAAUAUAAAGCUAAAACCAGAUACGAUGGAAAUCACUGGCACUGAGGAGGUCAACGAACUCUGAAGCUAGGCUCUUUGAUUGGUGAUCCCCAAGUAGGAAUCAAGUUUGUCCUUGAGUGAGAAUAGAUGAGAGAAAAUGUGGAGCUCCUGACAUAGUAGCAGAGGAAAAAUGAUCACUACCACAGUGUGCUACUCUGAUGCUUCAAAAAGAUCAAGACAUAAUGCUAAAGCCUGAUCAAAAGAUCAGCAUCGUGCAAAGAUCUGUUUACGCAUCCCCAAGACUACCACCGAUUAAUGAACAGGACAUUUUUCUCAGGCUACACCG